GGAUCAAUUUAUUGGUCGUGCUAUUGGUAUUAUUGGUUCCUACCUUCUGACGAACCAUGAUGUCAUUAAUUUGGUGUCAUGGGGAAUCAGGACUGUUACUUUGAAAAAAUUAGAGUGUUUAAAGCAGGCAUUUUGCUUGAAUACAUUAGCAUGGAAUAAUAAAAUAGGACGGCAUGAUUC
rnacentral:rRNA from 1 species